rnacentral:rRNA from 1 species
AUUGAACGCUGGCGGCAGGCCUAACACAUGCAAGUCGAGCGAAUGGAGGAAGCUUGCUCCUCUCUUCCGCUGCCGACGGAUGAGUAAUUCCUAGGAAUCUACCUGGUAGUGGGGGAUAACGUCCGUUAGCGGACCCUAAUCCCGCAUACGUCCUUAGGUUGAACGUCAGGGUUCUUCAGACCUAACGCUAUCAGCUGAGCCUAGGUCGUAUUAGCUAGUUGGUGGGGUAAAGGCUUACCAAGGCGACGAUCCGUAACUGGUCUGAGAGGAUGAUCAGCCACACUGGAACUGAGACACGGUCCAGACUCCUACGGGAGGCAGCAGUGGGGAAUAUUGGACAAUGGGCGAAAGCCUGAUCCAGCCAUGCCGCGUGAGUGAAGAAGGUCUUCGGAUUGUAAAGCUCUUUAAGUUGGGAGGAAGGGCAGUAAGUGAAUCCCUGGCUGUUUUGACGGUACCAAAAGAAUAAGCAACGGCUAACUUCGUG